rnacentral:rRNA from 1 species
CACCGCGGUUAUACGAGCAGGCCCAAGUUAAUAGAACUACGGCACAAAGCGUGGUUAGAAAGCACACCCUAAGUAAUAAAGUCGAAUGCCUUUAAAGCAGUAAAAUGCAUUUAAAAGUCGGAAGCCCUUCUACGAAAGUGACUUUAACCUCUUGAAUCCACGAAAGCUCAGACA